rnacentral:rRNA from 1 species
UGCGUAGGCCGCGCGGAGGGUGGGAUGUGAAAUCCCCCGGCUCAACCGGGGAAUAGCGUCCCAAACCGCCGUGCUCGAGGGAGACAGAGGUGAGCGGAACUGAUGGUGGAGCGGUGAAAUGCGUUGAUAUCAUCAGGAACACCAGUGGCGAAAGCGGCUCACUGGGUCUCUCCUAACGCUGAGGCACGAAAGCUAGGGAGGCAACG